UCAGAUUCAGCUUGAGAUCGUAAACGAUAAGACCAUCAUAGCUGUCAGCUGUGUCGCGUAGCUUAAAUUGAAUUGAAAUUAAUCAGCGAGUGCACGAUUGUAAUAUACCCUGGAUUAGUUAAGAAGACGUCUGCAAAAUGGAAAGUAGACAUCUAUUACAUUGGGAAUUUAAAUGGGAGUUGGAGAAAGAAACGCUUUCAAAUAAUCCCGCAACAUGCAAAAGCCGCCCUGUAAUUGGCCAUGUGUGUGCAAAGAACAUCAUAUGUUUGCCACGGCAAUAAAAAUCAAAAGCAUAAUUUCUUGUAUCAAUUGAGCGGCAAUAAAAUAAGGCAGCCACAAGGACUGUCGACUGUCGCGCUUCCUUUUUCCAUUGUGCACAGCUGUGUGAGAGACAGAGAGCUUCUUCAAGCCAUUGACAAAUUCUGGUGGCAAUCCAUUCACUUUCAAUUCCGUUUGUCGCAGCAACAAUUGUAAUAAUUUGCUUUCAAAUGAAUUCACCGUGAUCUAUGCACUAAACUAAUUUCAAUUGGGACCCAAGCAGGCGUGAAAUAAACAAGAAAUCACUUAAUACCAACAAUUACAUAACCAAUUAGGACUUUUGGCUUUAUGAGAGAGAAGGAAUCGCCAAGGCGGUGUGCUUAAUUUUUUGGCAUCACAGCAUCCGCACAGGACAUGGAACAUGGAAGCUGUGUCAUUGUGCUCAUAAAAACCGAAAGAGAAAAGUUU